UUAAGAGAGCACACCACGUGCGUUUUCAAACAGCGGGACUAACGGACGGACGACUUCAGAGCUACUUCGACAUUCAGUGGCAAUUUUACAAAAUAUAUCCCUCAUGGAGUCUGACCGGGACUGGUAUCUCCCGACAUUCUCUGAAGCUUAGGUCCACUAAGAUGUCCGUUGAUUGAAGCUGACAUGGAGUCACAGUGACAUCCUUAAAAACUGUUGUCAUGUAUAAUACAUCUCUGCAUCUUAAAAU